rnacentral:rRNA from 1 species
GACGAACGCUGGCGGCGUGCUUAACACAUGCAAGUCGAACGGUAAGGCCCUUCGGGGUACACGAGUGGCGAACGGGUGAGUAACACGUGGGUGAUCUGCCCUGCACUUCGGGAUAAGCCUGGGAAAAUGGGUCUAAUACCGGAUAGGACCACUGCCCGCAUGGGUGGUGGUGGAAAGCUUUUGCGGUGUGGGAUGGGCCCGCGGCCUAUCAGCUUGUUGGUGGGGUGAUGGCCUACCAAGGCGACGACGGGUAGCCGGCCUGACGAGGGUGACCGGCCACACUGGGACUGAGAUACGGCCCAGACUCCUACGGGAGGCAGCAGUGGGGAAUAUUGCACAAUGGGCGCAAGCCUGAUGCAGCGACGCCGCGUGAGGGAUGACGGCCUUCGGGCUGUAAACCUCUUUCAGCACCGACGAAGCGCAAGUGACGGUAGGUGCAGAAGAAGGACCGGCCAACUACGUGCCAGCCGCCGCGGUAA